CCUUCUAGCGAUCUCUUAUAAGUUAAGACCUCCUGUGUUUUUAAAGAACAUGGAGGAUAGGGAAGAAGCUUCCUGCCUAAUAUGAUAAGUCCGGGGAAGGUUUUCCGGUUUAUCCCGGAGGGCUUGUAGCUCAGUUGGUUAGAGCGCGCGCUUGAUAAGCGUGAGGUCGGAGGUUCAAGUCCUCCCAGGCCCACCAGUUUAUGUAUCAAUUUAUAAGCGCUUACGAAUUUUCUUAUAUGAAGCUUUUUAUAGACUUAUAAGGAGCUCACUUCAUUAAAGAAGCUUGUUUGUAAAAAUGUUGCGCUUCUCACUUUUGCUUAAGUGAUCCAAAGUUAAAGUGAUUCAAACGUAAAUUGAUCGCAAUUUAAGGGCGAUCCUGAAUUUAAAGGUUUUGAUCCUUUUUUUCUUUUUUUGGGGCCGUAGCUCAGCUGGGAGAGCACCUGCUUUGCAAGCAGGGGGUCGUCGGUUCGAUCCCGUCCGGCUCCACCACUUUAGGUCAUCAUCGUUGUUGUAAGAACACUCUUUGUAAGAGGUUUAAAACCCUUUUGCUUGUUCUAUUGAAAUUGUGAAGAGAA
rnacentral:tRNA from 1 species